AUGUGACGUCAUGCGCGUUCUCGUCUACUUGGGCUUACAACCGUACGGCACGCCAGUCAUUAUAGUAAGCAGCGGCAAUAGUGUUUUCAGAUGGACUCUGUGGAUGGAAAGAAGCGACCAGCCUCCGGCAGCACACUUCAGACACCCACGGACACUCCUCGCCAGCACGGGCUACCCCUUCUAACCCAUGGUUAUCCGAUGUUCUUUGGUCCAAACUCAGAGCAUCAUAGAGAAAAUGGCGCAAAUCAAAAGAUCUGUCUGACCUGAAACAACCAACUGGAUCCUAACCAGUCAGGCUUCAGGAGUGGCCAUUCAGCUGAGACUGCACUACUGUCAGUCACUGAAGCCCUACGGAUUGCAAAAGCUGAUUCCAAAUCAUCAGUUCUUAUUUUGCUGGAUCUAUCCGCUGCUUUUGACACAGUGAAUCAUCAGAUCCUCCUGUCCACCUUCUUAUCACUGGGCAUCACAGGGAUUCCACUUCGCUGGUUUGAAUCCUAUCUCACUGGUUACAGGCUUCAGGAGGAGAUAUUAAUUCGUAAGAGGGAGCAGAGGUAGGAUGGUGCGGAAGCAAGUGGCUGUUCUUUGCUUAGGUUUACUCCUGUUGCUGUCUUUACUGCACACCAAUCAGUCUGCACAUAUUGUGGCUAUGCAAAAAAUGGCAACAUUGGGUGAAGAUGCGGUUACAUAUCUGGAAAACGCAGCUGCUUCAGCCCUGAGGAAUCACACAGGGUCCCACUCAGUUGGAUGCAUUAAGGAAGCAAAGAAGCAUGAACACCUCAACUGCAAUCUCAUCUCUACAUUCAGCUCUUAUUUUCAGGAGGCAGCUGAUCUAAAGAGUCUCGACAAAGAG
ensembl:lncRNA